GACGAACGCUGGCGGCGUGCUUAACACAUGCAAGUCGAACGGAGAAAGGAGAGCUUUCUCUUCUGGAUCAUUGGCGAACGGGUGAGUAACACGUGAGGAACCUCCCCCAAACUCUGGAAUAAGCCCUGGAAACGGCGGCUAAUACCGGAGACGAUACAUAGCUGCAUGUCGACUAUCUGUGAAGUUCGUCUGUGUGGGAUGGACUCGCUGGCUAUCAGCUUGUUUGUGAGGUAACGGCUCACCAAGGGAACGACGGGUAGGCGGCCUGAGAGGGCGACCAGCGACAAUGGGCCUAAGAGACGGACCAGAAUCCUACGGGCGGCAGCAGUCGGGAAUCUGGCGCAGUGGGCGAACGCCUGAUGCAGCGAUGCCGCGUGAGGGAUGCCGGCCUUCGGGUUGUAAACAUCUUUCAGCAGAGAAGAAGAGAAAGUGACGGUACCUGAAGAAGAAGCAACGGCUAACUACGUG
rnacentral:rRNA from 1 species